GGAUGAGGGCGAUCUGGCUGCAGUAUCUGUCACCCCAUCAGUCACCAAGGUUGGUUAGCUCAUCUGGCUGGUGUCCCCGUCCUCCCUCACCGCUCCACGUGCGUCCCUCCUGAAGCUGUGCGCUUGGCUGAAGAGGACCACCACCUCCAAUAGAGGAGGAGCGGUCUUCGGUCCAGGGUAUGUGAGUAGCUGCACCCUCCUGCUAGAACCUCCAAACAAGCUCUCAAAUACACCUAUUUUUUGAAGUCCCUCAUCUUAUCACCCACUUCUUUUAUUUUAUUAAGUAUAUUAAACAUGCAAUAUCAUGUAUU
ensembl:misc_RNA 7SK 7SK RNA